CGCGUACUCCAACCUUCCGUACACUCAGGGAUAGUCCUUUCGAAAGAAAGAUUAAUACCUGAUGGUAUCUUAAGCACACAUGUAAUUAAGAUUAAAGAUUUAUCGGUGUACGAUGGGGAUGCGUUCCAUUAGAUAGUAGGCGGGGUAACGGCCCACCUAGUCUUCGAUGGAUAGGGGUUCUGAGAGGAAGGUCCCCCACAUUGGAACUGAGACACGGUCCAAACUCCUACGGGAGGCAGCAGUGAGGAAUAUUGGUCAAUGGGCGAGAGCCUGAACCAGCCAAGUAGCGUGAAGGAUGACUGCCCUAUGGGUUGUAAACUUCUUUUAUAAAGGAAUAAAGUCGGGUAUGGAUACCUGUUUGCAUGUACUUUAUGAAUAAGGAUCGGCUAACUCCGUG
rnacentral:rRNA from 1 species